rnacentral:rRNA from 1 species
AGCAGAUGCGAAACCUAUACAAUGCGCGAAAGCGUGAUAUGGGGAGCCCGCGUGCUUGCGCAAAGCGUAAGCUUUUCUAGAGUGUAAGUAGCUCUAGGAAUAAGUGGUGGGCAAGACCGGUGCCAGCCGCCGCGGUAAUACCGGCGCCACUGGUGGUAGCCGCGUUUAUUGGGCCUAAAGCAUCCGUAGCCGGAUAAGUAGGUUUCCAGUGAAAUCCAACAGCUUAACUGUUGGGCGUGCUGGGAGCACCGCUUAUCUUGAGACCGGGAGGAGUUAAGAGAAUUUCUGGGGGAGCGGUAAAAUGUUGUAAUCCCAGGAGGACUAUCUGUGGCGAAGGCGCUUAACGAGAACGGGUCUGACGGUCAGGGAUGAAAGCUAGGGGAGCAAACCGGAUUAGAUACCCGGGUAGUCCUAGCCGUAAACGCUGCUUGUUUGGUGUUGCAUAUCUUUCGCGGAUAUGCAGUACUGUAGUGAAGACGUUGAACAAGCCGCCUGGGGAGUAUGGUCGCAAGGCUGAAACUUAAAGGAAUUGGCGGGGGGUCACCACAAGGGGUGCAUCCUGCGGUUUAAUUGGAUUAUACCCCCGGAACCUUACCAGGAGCGACAGCAGAAUGAAGGUCAGUCUGAAUGGCAAACUCGACGCGCUGAGAAGAAGUGCAUGGCCAA